CAAGGCCACACCCCCUAAUAGCGCCACUCCCUGUGAGCCUAUGGCGGCCAUUUUUCCUCCAAACCAUCACAUCCACAUAACAUGAGAGCAUCGCUUACUUUUCUGUUGCCAUGAUAAAACGCGAUAACCAAGAGAGUUUAUUUUGGUUUGUGGUUCCAGAAGAAAGAGAGUCCGUCACGGCAGGGAGCAAGGCAUGGUGGCAGGAACAGGAAGUGAGGCGUGCACAUCUUCAGGCAUAAACACGAAGCAGAGCGUGAACUGGAAGUGGGAUGAGGUUAUAUACGAUCAAAGGCCACCCUCAGUGACAUACUUUCUCCAGUAAGGCCACACCUUCUAAAGGUCCCGUAACCUCCAACUGCGGACCAUGAGUUUAUGAGGGACGUUCUCUUCAAAAUACCCUAAUGAGCCUAGCUAGAACCACAACUAACGGCACGUCUCCAAGAGCAGAGACAAACUCCAUUCAGAACUAUAGACCAGGAUUACAUCAUCUCCACAGUUGUCCUCAGUCUGCAAGAGUCCCAUCUAAAGUACCACAGAUUCUCAUCUGGAUGAGACAGGUUUUCUACAACAGAUGGGACAAAGAAGAGAGAUGGGAAUGGACCUGAGCCAAGGCUCAGGAAGACUUUUCCCCACAAAAGCAAAAGUGUGCUUUACAAGAGGAGACAUGGGAACAGUUCAGCUGCUCAGUUACUUGGAGGCCGUGAUAAAACAAACACACUGAGGGAGGCAACUUGAGGGAGAAAAGAUAUGCUUGGCUCACAAAUCCAGGUGAAAGUCAGUCACUGAAGGACAAGUCAAGAAGGCAGGAACUUGAGGCAACUGGUCAUCUUACAUCCACAAUCAAGAGCAGAGAGCCUUGAGUUAAAUGAAGAUCUCUCUACUUAUGAGAGGGAGAGGAUGUUUUCCAAAACUAGCAACAAUCCCAGACUGCGGAGCUCACUACGCAGCAUUCCAGCACCAUCAAAAUGAAAUCACCUAGUAAAAACCAUCUCGGCUUCCAAAAAUACCCAUGAAUUAGAAUCCCCCAUGGGUCCCAGCUUGGAACACAACUGCCAUUUAUAUAAUUCAAGGUCCAGAACCAAAACAGAACUACCACAAAAGGCCCCAUGCAGACUUCGCAUUCGAAGUUUUUGACAAAGGAGAGCAAUCAAUAAAAGGAUUCGGAGGCUCCAGCCUCUAGCCGGAGCCUUCCUACUGAAGGAGGAGGGGCCUGGCCCAGACUGGCUGGAGAUGCUGAGGUGUUCAAUUCCAGGCUCAUAAAUCGGCCAGGCUGUACUUCCUGCCUCCCCGUCCUCAGACACCAGCGUCUUCCCAUUAAUGUCUUUUCAACAUGGGCCAGACAGAAACCACCUUCUGGGGGAAACACAUCCCCUGAGUUCCUUUUCAGCUGGAAAGCUGGUUUUCAAGAAAGCCUCUACGCAUUUAGCUCUCCAAAGGCCUGGCAGUCACAGACUUGUAGUCACGUGGUCGUGAUAUCAGACUGGAAAUCUUAUACCUCCCCAGCUUACCACAGCAAUGCAUUUCUUUGGCUUCCUUCCAGGACACAGCCAGCCGGGAACAGCACAGCAAUCCUUUCCUUCACAUCUGAAUAUGGCAACUAUAAUUUUUUGUUCGUUUGUUUUCUUUGAGACAGGGUUUCUCUGUGUAGCCCUGGCUGUCCUGGAACUCACUCUGUAGACCAGACCGGCCUCAAACUCAGAGAUCCACCUGCUUCUGCCUCCCAAGUGUUGUGAUUAAAGGUAUGUGCCACCAUCACCUGACAAUGGUAACUUUUAAUAGAAAGAGUUUUGUUUACAGGCUAGUCCCGUGUCCAUCUUCCAAAGUCAUUCCUGACGCAUGACAAAGGCCAGUCCCAGAACAUCACCAGUCACAGAGUCACCAGCCCAGACCUUCUGAUCAACAACUUGUAAUGUUAAGACCUGGGGCUUCUAAUGGAAAUCAGGAAGUCCUACUGCCCAGCAGGUUUCAUCUGAAGAUGCUAUAAUGAGAAGGACCUGGCUCCAUAGACUAUCAGCUCAGCACAGUUGUCUCGGCCAAACCAUCUCCAUGGUGACUCCCUUCUUGCUCGUGAAGAGGAUAAGACCCUAGGUCCUGGUCAGUGUUAUGGUGUCAGCCUUCCACAAGUUCACAAAGAGGUAUCUGAGCAGCUCAUUCUGGCUGGAGGACUGGAUGAAGCCUCUGAGUCCUGUUUUUCCCUGGUCCUUAGCAGAAAUGAAUGGAGAAGCAACAUCCCUGCUUAAGGCAUCCCUCACAGAGUGAGCAGGCCACAACUGAACCUUUCCUGUCAAGCCCUGUACAUUCGUGAGGUCCUGAGCUAGACAUCUACUUAUGGGGUUCCUGCAUUGGGAUCA